rnacentral:rRNA from 1 species
GACGGACGCUGGCGGCGUGCUUAACACAUGCAAGUCGAACGCUGACCCCGCUUCGGUGGGGGACGGGUGUCGCCCGGUUACGUAACACUUGGGCAACCUUCCCCCGCCUCUGGGAUAACUCCAAGAACUUGGGGCUAAUACCGGUUCUGACCGCUGUCCUCAUGCUCUUGUUUUGGAAGGGUUUUCCGGCCGGGGUUGCGCCCCCGGCCUAUCAGCUUGUUGGUGGGGUAGUGGCUAACCAAGGCGCCGACGGGUAGCCGGCCUGAGAGGGUGACCGGCCACACUGGGACUGAGACACGGCCCAGACGCGUACGGGAGGCAGCAGUGGGGAAUAUUGCGCAAUGGGCGGAAGCCUGACGCAGCGACGCCGCGUGGGGGAUGACGGCCUUCGGGUUGUAAACCUCUUUCAGCAGGGACGAAGCGCAAGUGACGGUACCUGCAGAAGAAGCACCGGCCAACUACGUG